CCACGUAUCGACUUCCUGCUGACCUCUCACCUCCGCUCGCCGACACCGGAACUUCCGCUGCCGAGGCGGCUCGGGUGUGAAGGGGGCCUGGUGCCCCGCCCUCGGUCCACAGGAGAGCUGCAUGGUAAAGAAGACUCUUAGACAGACCCAGCAUGAAGGAAGACUCUGAGAGCAGGCCAGCUGCCUGGAAGCAGCAGAAACCAGCCAUCCUGCCUGGAAGAGGUUUGGACCAACUGAGACACCCUGGAGGGACCCUCUCUCUUCAACUGUCGAGCUGCCUGCAGGCUGUGUGGUGUGCUCCAGGUUCUCAGCUUCGUGAGCUGUCACCCGUGCUGUGGUGGGCCUUGGUGAUGCAGCUGUCUUUGAGUCAUUUCUGCUCCUGGAAGUAACGUCAAUAAAGCUUAGGGUUUGCCAACUU